rnacentral:rRNA from 1 species
AGAGUUUGAUCCUGGCUCAGGAUGAACGCUAGCGGCAUGCUUAACACAUGCAAGUCGAACGAACUAUUUAUAGUUAGUGGCAGACGGGUGAGAAACGCGUGGGAACGUACCCCAAAGUUCGGAAUAACUAUUGGAAACGAUAGCUAAUACCGGAUGUGACCGAGAGGUUAAAGGUUUACCGCUUUGGGAGCGGCCCGCGUUAGAUUAGCUAGUUGGUAGGGUAAAGGCCUACCAAGGCAAUGAUCUAUAGCUGGUCUGAGAGGAUGACCAGCCACACUGGGACUGAGACACGGCCCAGACUCCUACGGGAGGCAGCAGUGAGGAAUUUUCUGCAAUGGGCGAAAGCCUGACAGAGCAAUACCGCGUGAGGGAUGAAAGCCUAUGGGUUGUAAACCUCUUUUCUCAAGGAGGAAGAUAUGACGUUACUUGAGGAAUAAGCAUCGGCUAACCCUGUGCCAGCAGCCGCGGUAAUACAGGGGAUGCAAGUGUUAUCCGGAUUUAUUGGGCGUAAAGCGUCUGCAGGUUGAUAUUUAAGUCUUUUGUUAAACCUUCGGGCUUAACCUGAAUUCUGCAAAAGAAACUAUUUAUCUUGAGUAUGGUAGAGGUAAAGGGAAUUUCCAGUGGAGCGGUGAAAUGCGUAGAGAUUGGAAAGAACACCAACAGCGAAGGCACUUUACUGGGCCAUUACUGACACUGAGAGACGAAAGCUAGGGGAGCAAACGGGAUUAGAUACCCCGGUAGUCCUAGCUGUAAACGAUGGAUACUAGAUGUUGUGCAUUUUUUGAGUGUGCAGUGUCGUAGCUAACGCGUUAAGUAUCCCGCCUGGGAAGUAUGCUCGCAAGAGUG